CCGGAAACCACACCUCGUAUUGCUGAGCCAUUCCAUAUCUCCAUCUCCGGCUGAUUCGCCAUGUCUGCUUCAUCUUCGAACUCCGUCCCAAUCUUGUCUGACUGGCUGCUGCCGCUGAUGAGGUGACCACUGUGCGACGAUGAUAUCAAGACCAAUGUGGCGAGGUCUAGAUCUCAGGCUGGUAACCGCUUCUACAAGUGCAUUCGAUAUGAUUCUCGCCAGUGUCGUUUCUUCGAGUUUCAGCGAGCUUACUGGAGGAGGAUGACCCCAAUGCAGAUAGCUGUCGCGCAUCACCAAGCUGGGAUGCACCCUGGAGGCCAGAUGUUUUGUGUCCGCCAUGCUAAUGUGGGCACGUAGAUGGUGCCUGUUGCGAACCAGCCGCAUGCAUAGCCGUAGAUCCAGCCUCAAGCCAACCAGAGCUGGUCAACAAUCUGGUCCAGCAAGUCCCGCCCACGGCCGCAGCCAGAGCUGGCCCUGGGUCUCAGGCCUUGUAGGCGUCAACGUUCUUCUUGGAGCUGUCAACAUCAUGCUUACAGUUCUCGUCCUCAUGGUCGUGGUUGCGUCCGCAUGUGCCAGGGAUCUAUGUGUUAGUGUACUACUAUGUAAUGAAGUAAUUAAGGGUGGCUCCCUCUACCGCUAAGCCUGUUUCACUCCCAUUCAUGCAGUUGAUGGGCUAAACUUAGUAGCGCAAGAUGUUUUAGUUCAAGUUCAGUAUGUACUGGCGCACCUGAUGUUUAUUAAGUUCGCUUUUGAGAUUGUUCUGCAA